GAUGAACGCUGACAGAAUGCUUAACACAUGCAAGUCUUUGGCGAAGCUGUGCUUGCACCGCCUAGCCAAGGCGGACGGGUGAGUAACGCGUAAGGAACUUGCCCUGCAGUCAGGGAUAACAGACGGAAACGACUGAUAAGACCUGGUAAAGUCAGGCGGACUCAUGUCCAGCCUGAUGAAAAGAGAUGCUGCAGGAGAGCCUUGCGUCCUAUUAGCUUGUUGGUGGGGUAACGGCCCACCAAGGCGAUGAUAGGUAGCCGGCCUGAGAGGGUGGACGACCACAAGGGGACUGAGAUACGGCCCUUACUCCUACGGGAGGCAGCAGUGGGGAAUAUUGGACAAUGGGGGCAACCCUGAUCCAGCAAUUCUGUGUGCACGAUGAAGGUUUUCGGAUUGUAAAGUGCUUUCAGCAGGGAAGAAAAAAUGACGGUACCUGCAGAAGAAGCGACGGCUAAAUACGUG
rnacentral:rRNA from 1 species